AACUUUUAACAACGGAUCUCUUGGUUCUCGCAUCGAUGAAGAACGUAGCAAAGUGCGAUAACUAGUGUGAAUUGCAUAUUCAGUGAAUCAUCGAGUCUUUGAACGCAACUUGCGCUCAAUGGUAUUCCAUUGAGCACGCCUGUUUCAGUAU
rnacentral:rRNA from 1 species